rnacentral:tRNA from 1 species
GCCUGGGUGGCUCAGUCAGUUAAGCGUCCGACCUCAACUCAGGUCACGAUCUCACGGUUUGUGGGUUCGAGCCCCGCACCAGGCU